CCUGCCACUGUCCUAGUCUGUAAAAGUGAUUUUGUACAAUCCAGUGGAGGCUUAUAGUGACCCGGCUUUUGGAAGCGGGGCGGCUCCAACCUAAUGGCUAACUCUGCGCCGAAAGGCCUGGAACAAAC
ensembl:snoRNA SNORA65 small nucleolar RNA, H/ACA box 65